rnacentral:rRNA from 1 species
UACGUAGGGGGCAAGCGUUGUCCGGAUUUAUUGGGCGUAAAGAGCGUGUAGGCGGUUAGGUAGGUCCGCUGUGAAAACUCGAGGCUCAACCUCGAGACGUCGGUGGAAACCAUCUAACUAGAGUCCGGAAGAGGAGAGUGGAAUUCCUGGUGUAGCGGUGAAAUGCGCAGAUAUCAGGAAGAACACCCGUGGCGAAGGCGGCUCUCUGGGACGGUACUGACGCUGAGACGCGAAAGCGUGGGGAGCGAACAGG